CAAAUGGCCGCGGCGGCCCCAGGUCCGGCGUCACUCAGACAAGAGGGCGGGUAGAGGAGGAAGCGGCCAAGUCCACAGUACUGCUCUGGUGCCGCCGAUCACCGCUCACCUCAGCUGACCAGCCCUGUCCUCUACUGGGCCUCGCCUAGAGGAGGGAAAGGCCGCGGCGUCCGCUUCCUCCGCGGCUCAUGGCGACGACGCUUGGCACAUCCGGGACCCUCAGGCCGCUGCGGUCGCGUCGCCGGCUGCUCGGGCCCCAACCCCGGCCGCUGUGGUGACUCCGCCGCGCCUCGCCGUCGCCCCCGUCCCGCCCGCCGCCCCAGCCGCCAGGAACAUGUCUAACCUCGGAGGCCGUAGGAACGGGCCUGUCGAAGUGCGCCUGACAGGAAUCAUAUUGACAGGUCAUGAAAAUGAGACCAAAAGAUCUCUGGAAGCGAUUAAUGAUAAAAUUUCAUGGAGAAGAAGGCCUUGACUACGGAGGGGUUGCCAGGGUGAUGACAACUCCGUGAGGGUGGAGAUUAUACAUCUCUCAUCAUUUCAGCAACAAGGAAAUAAAUUAGUGGCAGAGUAAGGGUGACUUGAGAUCUCUUGGAAGCGAGGAUCCUUUAAAAAUCCUGGAAUAUACACUGCAGUAAAAGAACAAAGCAUACCUCAGCCUUAAACGACUGAAGAAGAAUGUCAAGUGGGGAAGUGGCUUUGGUUUUCAGUUUGUGGGUUCUGAAUCCACACAAAGACAGGAUUGCUUUCUGAAAACCUGAAUUAAUUAUUGUCCUUACCUCAAUAAGACAAAAAAUUAGAAUCAAAAUCGUUAGUAUUACAGUCACAGAUAUCGCCAAGAUGAGUUUGUUGUUAUAGCCAUAUCCUGGAACUUCUUUCGUGAGCUAAAAAAAAAAAAAAAAAAAAAGGAAAGAACAAUUAAAAAAAGAGUGAAAGCUAACUUUUCAAAACCCCAGUAUUCCAGUUGAGUAGCUUACAGGUUCUUUUUUGUUUGUUUGUUUUGAGACAGGGUCUCACUCUGUCACCCAGGCUGGAGUACAGUGGUGUGAUCACAGUUCACUGCAGACUCGACCUCCCUGGGCUCAGGUGAUCCUCCCACCUCAGCCUCUAGAGUAGCUGGAAUUAUAGGCACAAGUCACCACACCCAGCUAAUUUUUGUAUUUUUUGUGAAGAUAGGGUUUCACUAUAUUGGUCAAGCUGGUCUCAAACUCCUCUGACUUCAAGUGAUCUACCCACCUCGGCCUCCCAAAGUGUUGGGUUUACAGGCGUGAGCUACCAUGCCCGGCCUACAGUUCAUCCUGUGCACUAAUCUGUUUCACUCUCUAAAUGAACAAAGUGGGAGAUCACUGUCAUGGCCAAAGUUACAUGGCCAAGACAAACUAUGGCCUGGGAGUCCCAGGUUCUCCUGUGUGGGCACUUUCCUGGCAUAUGCUAAAUGAUGGGAAAGUCUGGGUCUCAUGUUUCUGUGUGGUCCUCACCUCACUCGACUUCUGCUCUUUCUGUUCACUCUGGGCUUCUGUGCUCUCAUUGAUACAGUUCUUAGUUUUCCACUGGUCCGUAUCCCGUUCUGCCUUGGACGCCUUUACUUCCUGCUGCUCACUGAGAAGCUUCAUCAGGAGGCCUGUCCUGGAGAUGAGCUUGGCACAGGUCACUUGCACAUAGGUCUCAGAGCAGUCCGUCUUCAAGGUCCAGAUAACAUGAGAAAUGAAGCUUCUCACAUCGUUGUUGGGGAUGACGGACUGUAGUUGAUGGGUUAGCGGAAUUUUAAACUGAUCACCUGGGGAUGAGAGCAAUGGGUAACUGAAGCUUUUGGGCUCGGGGGACAGGUCAGUGCCCACGUUGUUGUAUUCCCAUUUUGUCUCAGUUUGUUUAACAGUUGGCUCUAAGUUGAAUGCAGUCCUAGUGGGAAUCUGCCUCAGGAAGAUGAUUGUAGUUUGUGUUUUCAGAGAUGGUGCCUUCUGGCAUAGUAGUGUUUUCCAUAAAAACGUUUUCUUUAGAGGCAUUUCUUGCAGUUGUGUUUUUUACAGUAGUGUUUUCUAUAAAACGUUCUGAAGGAGCAAAUACUUCCGGAAAAGGGUUUUCUUGAGGACUCAGGUCUCCUGAGGAUGAAAAAGCCCCUUGUGAAGGGGAAUUUAUGAGGCUCUUCGCUGCAGAGAACGGCGGCCUCUUUGUGAGCAUCAGUCUAUUGAGAUAACUUUUCUUUCUCAAUUUUCUAAUCUUUUUGGCCUUGGGUGUUCUGUGGGCCACACGGGAGUGAGUUUUAUGAAAGUGGUAUUUUUUUUCUGGAAUGUACGACUCGUUUAGCAGCCUUCAUAUUUUUUAACUCCAGCCUUUGCAUUUUCUAAAAUUAAAAUGGUGUAGGCUAAGUCUUUCGAUCUGUCUAUGACCUGAGGUAGGGCUUUUGCAGUUGUGGAAGGCAGAAGGCAUGCCCAUGGAGAAGGGUUUCAGCAAAGAGGAGACUGUUAGCUUCUGCUCUUGGGUGAAUGAAGGCUUGGUGUAGAUGGCGUUUCCCGCUAUGUUCUCGGGCCCCUGCACUAUGUGAGGCUAUUCCAGCUCCCUUGGGGCUGGACUCCCGAGCCUUUUUUCUUUGGCAGCAUUCUCCCCAAAUGCUUGGGCACCCUGUUCCCUCCUGAUACUCUGCUUUCCCACCUCUUUGAAGGGCCUUUUCUGGAUGUUCCUUGGGCCCAUGAGGACUCUGUUCACUCUCUGCAGGUUUUUGCCUACUCUUUGAACCUUUGCCAGGCUGUUUUCCUGUGGUUGGACAGUUUCUAAUUUCUUUUCAAAUAUUUGGCAUUUAAAUUUGUUACCUAGAAGGCUGGACUGCAUAAGCAUGGCAGUUUUUUCUUCCCUUUUAACUUCAUCGAUUUUUUUCUUGUAUUUCUGCAUCUAACAUCUUUUCUAGCAAAUACGCCUUUCUCAAUUUAUUUUCAUAAGUUGAAUUGUUGGAUGCAG
rnacentral:lncRNA from 1 species